rnacentral:rRNA from 1 species
UACGUAGGGUGCGAGCGUUGUCCGGAAUUAUUGGGCGUAAAGGGCUCGUAGGCGGUUUGUCGCGUCGGGAGUGAAAACGCCGUGCUUAACACGGCGCUUGCUUUCGAUACGGGCAGACUAGAGGUAUGCAGGGGAGAACGGAAUUCCUGGUGUAGCGGUGAAAUGCGCAGAUAUCAGGAGGAACACCGGUGGCGAAGGCGGUUCUCUGGGCAUUACCUGACGCUGAGGAGCGAAAGUGUGGGGAGCAAACGGG